rnacentral:lncRNA from 1 species
CAUCCCCCUAUGUUGAUUUUUUUUUCAUGCAACCUGUUUAUAACACUUAUCGGUUAUAACAAUGGAAUUCUCGUGGCACUUGAAUGUUGUUAUAAGUAGGUUCGACUGCAUUAGGGAAAAUGUUUCAAG